rnacentral:tRNA from 1 species
GUCUGGCUAGCUCAGUUGGUAGAGCAUGUGACUCUUGAUCUUGGGGUUGUGAGUUCAAGCCCCACGCUGGGUG